AGCGAACGCUGGCGGCGUGCUUAACACAUGCAAGUCGAACGUGAAAUGUAGCAAUACAGAGUAAAGUGGCGUACGGGUGAGUAACACGUGGGUAAUCUACCAAAGUGCCUGGAAUAACCGGCCGAAAGGCUGGCUAAUACUAGAUAGUUCAAGCCAUCUGUAAGGGAUGGAUUGGGAAAGGGAGCGGGUAACCGCCUUCACAUUUUGAUGAGCCCGCGUCUGAUUAGGUAGUUGGUGAGGUAAUGGCUCACCAAGCCUGAGAUCAGUAGCUGGUCUGAGAGGAUGAUCAGCCACACUGGAACUGAAACACGGUCCAGACUCCUACGGGAGGCAGCAGUGGGGAAUCUUGCGCAAUGGACGAAAGUCUGACGCAGCCACGCCGCGUGAGUGAAGAAGG
rnacentral:rRNA from 1 species